rnacentral:rRNA from 1 species
GUGUCAGCAGCCGCGGUAAUACAGAGGCCCCAAGCGUUACUGAGAAUCACUGGGUUUAAAGGGUGCGUAGGUGGUCCGUUAAGUUCGUUGUGAAAGCCCUGGGCUCAACCCAGGAACUGCUUCGAAUACUGGCGGACUUGAGGCCGGUAUGGGUCACUGGAACUGACGGUGGAGCGGUGAAAUGCGUAGAUAUCGUCAGGAACGCCAAUGGUGAAGACAGGUGACUGGGCCGGAUCUGACACUGAGGCACGAAAGCGUGGGGAGCGAACGGGAUUAGAAACCCGCGUAGUCC